rfam:Actinopolymorpha singaporensis strain DSM 22024 genome assembly, chromosome: I
GCCCCCGUAGCCCAACUGGUCGAGGCGGCCCACUUAAAAUGGGUGUCAGUUUUGUGGGUUCGAGUCCCACCGGGGGCA